CCAGACUAGUUUUUCCUAAAUUUUAGGGUAUAUUUAGUAGUAUGUACAUACUGUCUGAAGCAAUUAAUGGAGAGUGGACAUAAUGCAAAUUUUAUCCUGCUAUCUGAAUAAGGCCUUGAAUAAGGGUGCCCAUAACCUUGAAGCAUACAAAGACUACGUUGGGCCAAGGGCCCAGGAAUGGACACCAUGGAGAAGAGCUCCACUCUGAAAAUUCUGCAGAUGGAAAAUCACAUAUAUGCCUGUAACCCUCCAGAGGAGAAAGAGUGAUUCAAAGGCCCUUCUCAGACUAUGAAGAGGAGAAGGAGAACCAGACUUCAGGU
rnacentral:lncRNA from 1 species